rnacentral:rRNA from 2 species
GGCGAGAAACCUUUGCCAAUGUGCGCAAAGCACGACAAGGUUAAUCCGAGUGUUUCCUGCUAAAGGAAUCUUUUGUUAGUUGUAAAACCACUGAUGAAUAAGGGGUGGGCAAGUUCUGGUGUCAGCCGCCGCGGUAAAACCAGCACCUCAAGUGGUCAGGAUGAUUAUUGGGCCUAAAGCAUCCGUAGCCUGUUCUGUAAGUUUCCGGUUAAAUCCAUUAGCUCAACUAAUGGGCUGCCGAAAAUACUGCAGAACUAGGGAGUGGGAGAGGUAGACGGUACUCGGUAGGAAGGGGUAAAAUCCUUUGAUCUAUUGAUGACCACCUGUGGCGAAGGCGGUCUACCAGAACACGUCCGACGGUGAGGGAUGAAAGCUGGGGGAGCAAACCGGAUUAGAUACCCGGGUAGUCCCAGCUGUAAACUAU